rnacentral:lncRNA from 1 species
CUUUCGGGCAGUCAUCUUCUAGCCCAUUUGGGUCACAAUCAGUUUUCGGGCAGACAAGUAAUAACCCAUUUGCUCCCAAACCUUUUGGCAGUACAAAUCCUUUUGGUUCUCAAUCUGGUGGUUCCUUUUUUGGUAGCACUUCCACUGGAGUGUUUGGAACCCCCCAAUCUUCUUCACCUCUGGGGUCUACAUCAGUUUUUGGUGCAUCAUCCUCACCUGCAUUUGGAGCUUCUACUACUCCAACUUUUGGCAGUUCAUCAUCAGCAUUUGGGAGUAAGUAUUUGUCUCUACAAGCUUCCUUACAUAAUUGUAUUUUAUAUAUCUUUUUUCAGAAUGCAAUCAAUGCUUUGUCUCUACAAGCUUCCUUUCACAAUUGUAUUUUAUGUAUCUUUUUUCAGAAUGCAAUCAAUGCUCUAUUGUAUUCUUUAGUAUUGCUAAUGCCAAAUGUCUUAAUACCAUUCAUCAUGAUUCUGGGUUCACAUCUCAGUGUCCUGUGAGGUGGAUAGUUAAUGAUUAUUUAUUAUGCAUGUUUCAAUGACAAUAGGACUGGCUCACCAUUAUCCACUACCACCACUCACCCCCACAACCACCACUGCGACCAGAUUGCCAAUUACUACAAUCAACUACUAUCACUGUUAGACAAUCACCACUAUCCGCCACCAUUAUAUAUAAGACAGCCAACAUAAUCAUCCGCAACCAUCAUUAGCUAUCACUAUCAUCCACCGUCACCAACUAUCACCAUUAACCACCACUUCCUGCCACCACUAGCUCUUACCCUCAACACCUCCAGUAGCCAACACCAUCCUUAAUUGACACCCACAACCACCACCGCUAGCCAGCACUACCACCAACCAUCUUAUGAUUUUUUAAAAAUAUUUUAUUGAUUUAGCGUUAGAUUGAUUUGGUAUUUUAUUAAAUUUUAUAUUAACUUAUUUUUAAAUGUUUUUGUAAAAUAAACAAUCUUAAUUAUUUAGUGUUCAAGUCUUAAUACAACAAUAGAAAAUGUAACAAACCCUGUAUAAUUUCAUUCCCACAAGUGGAUCUAAGGAGGGUAAAAUGUAUGUAGCCUUACCCCUACCUUUAUGGUGUAGAGAGGUUGUUUUUGCUUGAACCUCGUCAACCCUCCUUCUUUAUCGGGGCUUGGGAUCAUCAAUGUAAGUGAGCUCACACAAGCGGAGUUAUAUUCAGAUCUUAGUAGAACAUCUUUUUGUUUAGUGUAUUCAGAUUCUGAUGUCUUCGUCUUAAUAAAAACAAAUGCUAAGUACCAAUGCCUGCAUAAAGCUCAAGUGUAUAAUUUGUCUGUUCAAAUGAACUUGUGUUGUAAUUCUCUUACAUGAUUAUUAAUGAUAUUUCCUAUUUAAACCUUGUACCUGGAAAAUAUUUUUUUGAUUACGGAGAAAAAUGCUGUUUCGAGCUUCAAAACAUGGUAAAUAGUGGGCGUGCACGUCUACCCUCCUUCACCUGUAGGCUUUGAAUCAGAGGAGCAUACAAUGUGAAUUUUAAUGCUAAUAUUUUUUCCUGGAAAAAAACUGAUUUACUUGUUGGGGAGAUUAUUAGUGCUAAUGCAAUUUAUAUGUAUUAUUAGUGCUAAUGCAAUUUUUAUGUAGGACACAUCUUUUCUUUCUUAAUGGGAAGAGUGAUCUCUAUCUAAUAUAUCUUUUUGCUUCAUUCCUUGUAGUUCUUUCUUUGCAUUUUUUUUCUGUUCUAGUAUAACAGGGAAUGCAUGUUCUUUUAAUUUUCUGAGGUCAAUGAAAACCCUUUACUAAUAUUUUUGUGGUGUAAACCGUAUGUUGUUUGCAAUGUGCAUUUUUCCAGCAUUUCCCCUUCACUAAUAUUUUAGUGGCGUAAACUGUAUGUUGUUUACAGUGUGCAUUUUCCUUAGAGUGGGAAGCAAUUGACGUUAUUUAAGUUAUUGGUGUUAUUUUGUUUUAAUUGUGUUAUAAACUCAAUGUGAGUGGAACAGUAUUUGUUUGUUCUUCAGUUCUGAAAGUGUCUUGAUUGUGAAGGUUCAUCUGUAUUCGGGCAAAAGCCAGCUUUUGGCGGCUUUGGUUCAAGUAGUGCCCAAACAAGUCCAUUCGGCAGCUCGUUUCAACAAUCACAGCCGGCAUUUGGGAGUGGUCUAUUCGGCUCAUCUACACCUUUUGGUACCUCAAGUCAACCUGCAUUUGGUACUCCAAGUACCCCGACAUUUGGUUCAUCAACCACCCCUGCUUUUGGUGCCACGACGAGUACACCAGCAUUUGGUACAUCAAGUACUCCAGCCUUUGGUUCUACACCUAAUCCUACCUUCGGCAAUACAAGUAGCCCAUUUGGUGUGACCAAUCCUCCUGUUUUUGCAUCUGGCACCCCGUCCUUUGGUACUACCACUGCUUCUGCGUUUGGUUCCACAUCAACUCCUGCUUUUGGUACUCCGAGUGCUCCUUCGUUUAGUUUUGGAUCCUCUCCUGCAUUUGGCCAAUCAACAUCUGCUUUUGGCAGUAGCCCGUUUGGCACAUCAACGUCAACUUUUGGUGCUCCAAGUUCUGCCUUUGGUAAGUUGUUUUUAUAUUCAUGCAAGACAGACUGAUAGUUUUGUUAUUUCCUCUGUCUUAAAUUAUGUGAUGCUUUCCAUUUUAGUUUGUUCAAAAGAAUUACUAUCUUUCUAUAUUUCAGAACGAUAACUUUAAACUAUCCAUUUUACUCGUAAUGAGAUGAUCUUGUAGCCACACAAAUAUCUAUGACUUGUUUUAAACUACAAGUUUCAAAAAUGCCUCUUUUUUCUUGAACUCCCUGCCUAUGUAAACAUCACCACAUAAAUUUGUCUGGAGGGAGUAUGUUUUUUGAUAUUAUUUGUUUUUUCUCUAACUGUAAGGUUUGAAAAUCAAAGUUAGUUUAUCAUAUUAUUCAUCUCUGAUACUUGGUCUCUUCAUAUGGUUUAGGAGCCCAAACUUCUGCGACAUCUUUCGGAAACCCUAGUUUUGGACAAUCUGCUGUUGGUGGUCAACGGGGCGGAACACGAGUUGCUGCUUACCAGGCAACACCUGAUGCAGAUAAUCCCAGUGGUACCCAGCCUGCGAAACUAGAGUCUAUUUCGGCCAUGCCAGUUUACAAAGAAAAGAGCCAUGAAGAACUUAGGUGGGAGGAUUACCAGUUGGGAGACAAGGGUAAGUUUUAAUGUAAAUUAUACUCUCGACAUUAGUGAUCUUUGCGGUGUUGAUAAUCUGAACCUCACAUUACAGGAGGUCCUGCUCCUGCGGGUCAGUCAACUAGUGGAAUGAAUUUUGGAAGCUCAGCCUUCGCAUCAUCAACAACUUCCCCAUUUGGCCAAUCAUCUGCAAAUCCAUUUACGUCCACUACAUCUUCCAACCCUUUUGCCCCCAAACCAUCCACAUUCAGUACUUCAGGUUUUGGAGUCCCAACUACUCCGGCGUUUAAUUCCUCUGCCUUUCCAAGCUCAAAUACAUCUAAUCCUUUUGGCUCUACAUCCUCCACUUCCCCUUCCUUAUUUGGAUCAACUUCAGCUUUUGGACAAAGUACAUCUCCCACCCUCUUUGGAUCAUCUAGUGCUUCGGGUUUUGGAUCAUCAACAUCAAUUUUUGGCUCCUCGCCAGCUCAGGCUACUGCUCCAGCAUUUGGUCCUAGCUUAAGCUUUGGUAACACUCAAUCAUCUCCAUUAUUCCCAUCAACUGCCCCUCCAUUCGGACAGACGAGCUCGGCCUUUGGACAGACCGCAUCAUCUUUUGCCCAGACUACACCAGCUUUUGGUCAAUCCAAUUUGUUUAGUACACCUUCUACUGGCUUUGGUGGUAACUUGUUUUCAAGUGCACCACUGCUAAAUACAAGCAGUACAAUGGGAUUUGGCCAAACAACUGUAAGUUAAUCAUAAAUUGUAUUCUAUGU